ensembl:lncRNA
UGCAAGCCACCAGGAGACGUACCACAGAAGAAAAAGAUGGCUGGAAGAAGAAGAUAAUGAGUUACAUUUUGGAUAUAUUAAAUUCAAGGAUUCAGUCAUUCUCAACAGAUCCUUUUGUGCCUGAAAAACACUGCAUUAAGCUGUCUCUCUGGACUCUUUAUAGAUGAACCUCGAGACUGAGUCUGACUUCUCUGUGUGUCUUUUGAUGAAAGUCCUAGAACACAGAGGAGGCAAGAGCAGGUUCUGGAAAUUAGGAUGCAGCUAUCUCUAAGAGAGACUUCAUUCUACCUUCACCCUAGGCGUAUGAAGAACCAGGAAAUCUCAGCUCACGUGAAAACAAUCAGCAGAUGCCAAUGCUAAGGUGAUGCAGAUGUUGGAAUUUUCUGACAAAGACUUUAAAACAAAUAUUAUGAAAUAUUCCACAGAGCAAGGGACAGCACUCUUGAAUGGAAAGAGAAAGUGUUGGCAGGGAAACCGAAAGUAUAAAUAAGAUCCAAAUGUAAAUUUUAGAAUUAAAACAUACAAUAGCUGAAAUUCUAAAACCUAGAUAAACCAAUUGAAAUUAUUCAAUCUGAACAACAUAGAAAAAGAUUUUUUUAACAGAGCCUCAGGGACCAGUGAGAUUAUACCAAGAUGUCUUAACGUUCAUGUCAUUCAAGUCUCAGAAGAAGAGAAAAAAAUACGAGGCAGAAAAAAAAUACUAGAAACAAUAAUGACGGAAAACUUCCCAUAUUUGGCAAAAGACAAAAACCUACAGAUUCAAGAAUCUCAGAGAACUCCAAAUGGGAAAAACACAAAAAAUCCAUGACUAGACAUAUCAUACGGAGAAGGCAAUGGCAACCCAUUCCAGUACUCUUGCCUGGCAAAUCCCAUGGACGGAGGAGCCUGGUAGGCUGUAGUUCAUGGGGUUGCUAGGAGUCAGACACAAUUGAGCAACUUCACUUUCACUUUUCAGUUUCAUGCAUUGGAGAAGGAAAUGGCAACCCACUCCAGUGUUCUUGCCUGGAGAAUCCCAGGGACGGGGGAGCCUGAUGGGCUGCCAUCUCUGGGGUCACACAGAGUCAGACACGAGUGAAGCGACUUAGCAGCAGCGGCAGCAGACAUAUCAUAAUCAAACUGCUAAAAACCAAGAUGAAAAAAACUAUUGAAAGAAGCCAGAAAGAUGAUAUACUGUCUAUAAGAAAAUAAUUCAAACAAUUGUAGAUUUCUUAUAAAAAAUCAGGAAUAUGCAAAUAUAAAUAAGCUGCAAACUUUUGCCCAUCAAAUUAGCAGAAAGUGUUGAAAUCAUUACUAUCUAGUGUUAGGAUACAAAAAUAUGUUAGUGGCAAAAGAAAUAAAGACAACAUUUAUUUAAAAAAAAAACAAAACAACAACAUUUAUGAGCUUCCCUGAUAGCUCAGUUGGUAAAGAAUCCGCCUGUAGUGCAGAAGACCCAGGUUUGAUUCCUGGGUCGGGAAGAUCCUCUGGAGAAGGGAUAGGCUACCCACUCCAGUAUUCUUGGGCUUCCUUGUGGCUCAGCUGGUAAAAAAUUUGCCUUCAAUAUGGGAUAUCUGGGUUCGAUCCCUGGGUUGGGAAGAUACUCAGGAGAAGGGAAAGGCUACCCACUCCAAUAUUCUGGCCUGGAGAAUUCCAUGGACUGUAUAAUCUAUGGGGUCACAAAGAGCUGGACACGACUGAACAACUUUCACUUCACUUUAUAAAAAACAAUUAGGUAUCAUCUACCAAAACUUUAAAUCUGUAUACCUUUUAAUCCUCAAUUCCACUUCUGAAAAUUUAUCCUACAGAAAUAUUGUAUCAGUGCUCAAAGAUGUUUUAUUGUGGCCUUGUGUGUAAUGGCAAAUAAAUACAUUAAUAAACACUAUAAACAAUUAGUGAUGAACUAUUACUUAAAUAAAUUAUAGAAUACCACACUAUUAGAAUAUAAUAUGGGGCUUCCCAGGGAGCUCAGCUGGCAAAGAAUCUGUCUGCAAUGCAGGAGACCCCAGUUCAAUUCCUGGGUCAGGAAGAAGGGAGAAGGGAUAUCCCCCCUGGAGAAGGAAUAGGCUACCCACUCCAGUAUUCUUGGGCUUCCCUGGUGGCUCAGAUGGUAAAGAAUCUGCCUGCAAUGUGGGAGACCUGGGUUUGAUCCCUGGGUUGGUAAGAUCCCCUGGAGGAGGGCAUGGCAACCCACUCCAGUAUUCUUGCCUGGAGAAUCCCCAUGGACAGAGGAGCCUAGAAGGCUAUAGUCCAUGGGGUCACAGAGAGUUGCACACAACUGGGCGACUAAGCACAGCACAGCACAGAAUAUAAUAUAACCUUUUAGAACAAUUAUAUUGGAGCCAAGUCUAUUGGCGUUGAAAGAACACAUGAUGUAAAUGUGAAAGGAUAAAAUGUUUGUUCCCCUUGGUCGGGAAACUAAGAUCUCACGUGCAACGCAGCCAAAAAACAAAAGUUGAUUUGUCAUAGGUUGAGCAACACUUAUGCGAAGGGUGUUGAUUAAACCAUCGUUGUCAAAGAAUACAUGGUAUGAAUGUUAAGUGAUAAAGACAUUUGUCAAAUACACACAAACUGGGUUUUGUAAUUGUAUAUGUGUGUGAUUAUAAUUGACGGGAAAGAUUUAGAAAGAUAAAAACCCAACUGAUAUCAGCAGUUGCUUCUGAGGAAUAAGAUAAGAAUAGAAUAGGUACUUGUGCUUUUUACUUCCUGUGUGAAUAUGUGUGGGUGGUUUAGCAAAGGACGAUUAUCAUUAUUGACAUUUUAAAACAUGGUAAAAGGCCUAUCCAUAUAAGUCAUAGCAAUACUCUCUAGAGUUCUCCUAAGAAAUUAACUAGCUCGUCUUUUACUGUUUGCUGGGAAUUUGGCAUUUUAUUCACUGUCCUUAAGGAAACCCAAACAACAUAUUCAGCAUCUCCUAGUGUAUAAGUUUUCUACUGCUGUAUAGUGAAUUAUCUCAAAACAACAAAAUUUAUUAUCUGAUGUAGUUUCUGGGGAUCAGGAACCCAAGAGUAUCUUGGCUGGGUGCUUCCAGCCAGGGUUUCUCAUGAAACUAUAGUCAUCUGCAGGUUUGAUCGGGAAAGGAGGGUCCACUCACCGGUCCCUCCCAUAGCUGUCAGUAAGAGGACUUGUUUCCGCGCUGGCUGUGGUCAGAGACUGCAUUCUCCAUCACACCGUCUUCAUUGUAGUCUGCUCACAGCUGGCAACUGACCUUCCCUCAAGUGAUUGGUUAAAGAUUUGAGUGACCAAGAUGGAAACCGCAAUGGCUUUUAUAACCUCAUCUUAGAAGUGACAUACGGUUACUUCUGCUAUAGUCCACUGGUCACACAGACUUACCCUGCUACAAAUAUGGUGGGAGAAUACACAGGAAUGUGGGUACCAGAAGUCAGGGAUCACUGAGGGCUCUCUUGAGGUCUCACUACACAGUUAAAUUUUUCCCCGCUGUCUCCCCUUCCUAAGUUCAUAGACCUUCUAAGAGGUUAUAAAGUACAACUCUAUCCCUACAGCAUUACUGGUGAAUUCAGGGGUCCUGGAGCAUCCAGCCUUCCACGGAAAGAGAACCCUAUGGAGUAAUAGGAAACUCCCACUCACAGAGACCCAACCUUUUCCUGUGAACAAGAGAGUUUGAUUCCCCUGAAGUGUGAUGGGCUUUCCUGAUGACUCAGGCAGUAAAGAAUCUGUCUGCAAUGCAGGAGACCUGGGUUCAAUCCCUGGUCUGGAAGAGACCCUGGAGAAGCAAAUGGCAGUCCACUCCAAUAUUCUUGCCUGGAAGAUCCAGUGAGAAGGGAAUGGCAACCCACUUCAGUAUUCUUGAUGGAGAAUUCCACAGACAGAAGAGCCUAGUGAGCUACAGUCCAUAGGAUUGCAAACAGUUGGACAUAACAGAGUUACUAACAAAUUGUGAUAAUUGGGCUUCCCUGGUGGCUCAGACAGUAAAGAAUCUCCCUGUAAUGCAGAAGACCUGGGUUCGAUCCUCAGGUCAGGAAGAUGCCCUGGAGAAGGGAAUGGCUACCCACUCCAGUAUUCUUGCCUGGAGAGUUCCAUGGACAGAGGAGCCUGGGGAGCUAUAGUCCAUGGGGUCGGACACGACUGAGUGACUAACACUCUCACUUUUUCAAAGUACGAUCAUUAAGAAGAGUUGGGAAAACUACAAAUGUCAAUAAUUGGUCAAAGACAAAAACAUGAGAACAGCCAGGUGCCUCAAAGACAAUCCCUUCAACAGGUGCUCACACCAUUUGCUCCCACUCUUCGGCCCAAACUGUCAUCUUUAUAAUUCAGAACAGUUGUUUCUUCUCCCGAGUGAAAAUUCCCAUAAGCCAUGGAGACAAGGAAGUGGAAAUGCUUGCCAGCUUAUAUUGAUAAAUCAAUAUAAAUUAAUGAAACUCAACUGCUACUGAGAAAAUAUUAGCAGGCAAUCGAUAAAAUGUGGAGGUUAAAGUAUACCUAUGUCUCUACACAAGAACAAUAUGAAGUACUCCAAGGCACAGCAUAACUGAGAAUUUGGAAAAGAAUUUUCUAAUAUGUACCUGCUUGCAAAAGAUGUGUAUUAU